GCAGUGCAUGGUAUCUCAUGCACCUGUUGUCCAGCCACUCAGGAGGCCAAGGUGAGACAGCGCCAGAGCCCAGGAGUUCCAGGCUGUAGUGCACUAAGCCAAGAGGGUAUCCAUAUUAAGUGUGGCAUCACUAUGGUGAUCUCCUAGGAGUGAGGACCACCAGGUUGCCGAAAGAGGGGGUGAAUUGGUCCAGGUCAGAAACAGGGCAGGUCAGAACUCCCACGCUGAUCAGUAGUGGGACCACAUCUGUGAACAGCCACUGUACUCCAGCCUGGGCAAUGUAGCAAGACCCUGUCUCUU
rfam:Otolemur garnettii contig096184, whole genome shotgun sequence.